rnacentral:rRNA from 1 species
CAUGGCUCAGAUCGAACGCUGGCGGCAGGCUUAACACAUGCAAGUCGAACGGUAACAUAAAGGAGCUUGCUUCUUUGAUGACGAGUGGCGGACGGGUGAGCAAUGCUUGGGAAUCUAGCUUAUGGAGGGGGAUAAAUACGGGAAACUGUAGCUAAUACCGCGUAAUAUCGAAAGAUUAAAGUGUGGGAACUUCGGGCCACAUGCCAUAAGAUGAGCCCAAGUGGGAUUAGGUAGUUGGUGAGGUAAAGGCUCACCAAGCCGACGAUCUCUAGCUGGUCUGAGAGGAUGACCGGCCACACUGGGACUGAGACACGGCCCAGACUCCUACGG